GCGAGCAGGUGCGAAAGCAGGUCAUAGUGAUCCGGUGGUUCUGAAUGGAAGGGCCAUCGCUCAACGGAUAAAAGGUACUCCGGGGAUAACAAGCUGAUACCGCCCAAGAGUUCAUAUCGACGGCGGUGUUUGGCACCUCGAUGUCGGCUCAUCACAUCCUGGGGCUGAAGUAGGUCCCAAGGGUAUGGCUGUUCGCCAUUUAAAGUGGUACGCGAGCUGGGUUUAGAACGUCGUGAGCCAGUUCGGUCCCUAUCUGCCGUGGGCGCUGGAGAACUGAGGGGGGCUGCUCCUAGUACGAGAGGACCGGAGUGGACGCAUCACUGGUGUUCGGGUUGUCAUGCCAAUGGCACUGCCCGGUAGCUAAAUGCGGAAGAGAUAAGUGCUGAAAGCAUCUAAGCACGAAACUUGCCCCGAGAUGAGUUCUCCCUGAGACUUAGAGUCUCCUGAAGGAACGUUGAAGACGACGACGUUGAUAGGCCGGGUGUGUAAGCGCAGCGAUGCGUUGAGCUAACCGGUACUAAUGAACCGUGAGGCUUAACCUUACAACGCCGAAG
rnacentral:rRNA from 1 species